rnacentral:rRNA from 1 species
GGCUCAGAGUGAACGCUGGCGGUAGGCCUAACACAUGCAAGUCGAACGGCAGCACAGGAGAGCUUGCUCUCUGGGUGGCGAGUGGCGGACGGGUGAGGAAUACAUCGGAAUCUACUUUUUCGUGGGGGAUAACGUAGGGAAACUUACGCUAAUACCGCAUACGACCUACGGGUGAAAGCAGGGGAUCUUCGGACCUUGCGCGAUUGAAUGAGCCGAUGUCGGAUUAGCUAGUUGGCGGGGUAAAGGCCCACCAAGGCGACGAUCCGUAGCUGGUUUGAGAGGAUGAUCAGCCACACUGGAACUGAGACACGGUCCAGACUCCUACGGGAGGCAGCAGUGGGGAAUAUUGGACAAUGGGCGCAAGCCUGAUCCAGCCAUACCGCGUGGGUGAAGAAGGCCUUCGGGUUGUAAAGCCCUUUUGUUGGGAAAGAAAUCCAGCUGGCUAAUAC